UACGUAGGGGGCUAGCGUUGUCCGGAAUCAUUGGGCGUAAAGCGCGUGUAGGCGGUCCGGUAAGUCCGCUGUGAAAGUCGGGGGCUCAACCCUCGAAUGCCGGUGGAUACUGCCGGGCUAGAGUCCGGAAGAGGCGAGUGGAACUCCUGGUGUAGCGGUGGAAUGCGCAGAUAUCAGGAAGAACACCAACGGCGAAGGCAGCUCGCUGGGACGGUACUGACGCUGAGACGCGAAAGCGUGGGGAGCGAACAGG
rnacentral:rRNA from 1 species